CAGCCGCCGCGGGAACACGAAGGGGGCUAGCGUUGUUCGGAAUUACUGGGCGUAAAGCGCACGUAGGCGGACAUUUAAGUCAGGGGUGAAAUCCCGGGGCUCAACCUCGGAACUGCCUUUGAUACUGGGUGUCUUGAGUGUGGAAGAGGUAAGUGGAAUUGCGAGUGUAGAGGUGAAAUUCGUAGAUAUUCGCAGGAACACCAGCGGCGAAGGCGGCUUACUGGUCCACAACUGACGCUGAGGUGCGAAAGCGUGGGGAGCAAACAGGAUUAGAUACCCCCGUAGUCCCUGUCUCUUAUAC
rnacentral:rRNA from 1 species